rnacentral:pre_miRNA from 1 species
GACUCACUCAACCCGGGUGUGAUGUGAAUAUAUUAUCGUCACAACCUCCUUGAGUGAGCGA